AGCAGCCGCGGUAAUUCCAGCUCCAAUAGCGUAUAUUAAAGUUGUUGCAGUUAAAAAGCUCGUAGUUGAAUUUCGGGGUCAGUAGAUUGGUCGUGCCACUGGUAUGUACUGGUCUCACUGGCUCCUCCUUCCUGAUGAACCGUAAUGCCAUUAAUUUGGUGUUGCGGGGAGACUGGACUGUUACUUUGAAAAAAUUAGAGUGUUUAAAGCAGGCUAACGCUUGAAUACAUUAGCAUGGAAUAAUGAAAUAGGACGUUCGAUCUUAUUUUGUUGGUUUCUAAGAUUGACGUAAUGAUUAAUAGGGAUAGUUGGGGGCAUUAGUAUUCAAUUGUCAGAGGUGAAAUUCUUGGAUUUAG
rnacentral:rRNA from 1 species